rnacentral:rRNA from 1 species
CACGAAAGCGUGGGGAGCAAAUAGGAUUAGAUACCCUAGUAGUCCACGCCGUAAACGAUGGGGGCCAGGGCGCGGGGUCGACCCGCGUCCGAAGCAAACGCAUUAAGCCCCCCGCCUGGGUACUACGUUCGCAAGAAUAAAACUUAAAGGAAUUGGCGGGUGCCCGCACAAGCAGUGGAGCAUGCGGUUCAAUUCGUGGCUACACGUAGAACCUUACCAGGGUUUGACAUGCCGGCAAAGGCCCCGGAGACGGGGAGAUAGCUAUGCCGGACAAAGGUGGUGCAUGGCUGUCGUCAGCUCGUGUCGUGAGAUGUUAGGUCAAGUCCUCCAACGAGCGCGACCCCCGCCGCCAGUUGCCAUCAUUGAGUUGGGCACUCUGGCGGGACCGCCGGCGACAAGCCGGAGGAAGGCGGGGAUGACGUCAAGUCAUCAUGCCCCUUAUGCCCUGGGCCACACGCGUGCUACAAUGGCCGGCACAGUGGGAAGCGACGCCGCGAGGCGGAGCGGAUCCCAAAAGCCGGUCCCAGUACGGACCGGGGGCUGCAACCCGCCCCCGCGAAGCUGGAAUUGCUAGUAAUCGCGGAUCAGCCAAGCCGCGGUGAAUGCGUUCUCGGGCAUUGCACACACUGCCCGUCACACCAUGAAAGCCUGCAACGCUCUAAGUCGCCAGCCCGACCCGCGAGGGGGGGCGGCGCCCAAGGCGGGGCCGGUGAUUGGGGUUAAGUCGAAACAAGGUAUCCCUACGAGAACGUGGGGAUG